UGCUUAAUUCCCUUGUCUUCCAGCCACUUAUCAUGCAUAAGUAAAGCUUCACCUAAUGAAACGCCUCUAUCCACCUGGAAACACACUUUUCAGUUAAAUCAGACUUGAGAGUUCCUAGCCAUAUCACAUCAGCCUAAUUUUGCAGCAUAAU